GUGCCAGCCGCCGCGGUAAUACCGGCAGCCCAAGUGAUGGCCGAUCUUAUUGGGCCUAAAGCGUCCGUAGCUGGCCACGCAAGUCCGUCGGGAAAUCCACUCGCCCAACGAGUGGGCGUCCGACGGAAACUGCAUAGCUUGGGACCGGAAGGCGCGACGGGUACGUCCGGGGUAGGAGUGAAAUCCCGUAAUCCUGGACGGACCGCCGAUGGCGAAAGCACGUCGCGAGGACGGAUCCGACAGUGAGGGACGAAAGCCAGGGUCUCGAACCGGAUUAGAUACCCCAGUAGUCC
rnacentral:rRNA from 1 species